CACACACACCGACAUGGAUACACACUAAAUAUCUCUCUACACUUUACACUCUCAUACAGCAACAAACCAAGAAAAACAUCGGCUCCCCUCCAGACCGCCAUCUUCUGCUCCUCCGGCAGCGCCUUAGCCGCCGGCCAUUGGCCGUAUCUUUCUUGCUCACAGCUUCUUCCUCUCUAUCUUCUCCAACCUCCAUUAAUGGAUUUCAAGGUUGAAGCUUUGUUUCCCCAAACUCAAGUUUCUUGCAAAUUAAGGUUAAGGAGUCGGUGAUGAGGCAGCGGUCAACGUGGUCCACGGUCUCCCAACCCUGUAUUUGACUAGUAUCCAUUUUUGGAUUUUGGGGUAAAUAUGAUCGUUGAGAUAUUAUUAUAUAUUUUGAAAACGUGCAUGUGUCCGAUGAUGGGAAUUUGUAUGGGUUGUGAGCCAGAGAUAUGUUUUCUAUUAAAGAUGUGUAUGUUGGGGGGAAUGUUCCGAAUAGACGAAUUAUUUUAAUUUCGCUAAA